CUAGAGUUAGGAUCUGUUUUUAAUAAAUAUUUUAUUUGUCUAGACCCGUCUACUGUUCGUGCUUCUGAGGCGAACCAGGAUUAGUGCUUGCCGGUAUUUCACGUGGAUUAGCAAGCAGGUUAUGAUCUGAGAGAGUCUGGUGAUCUCCGCAUUUACUUUUCCUCGGAGGUUCCAUUUAUUUUAGUAGAACUAUAAAACUAUUUUAUUCUUAGACCGCAGUAGUUGAUUAGACGUCUUUAUUAUUAUUAUAGUUGAUUGUCGGACUGGUCUGACUAGUUAUAUUGCUCUGGCAUGUUAUAUGUUUAUUUCAGAUUAUUUAUGUUAUGCCUAUUUUCAGACUCAGAAUCGGAUAAGCAUGUUAUAUUAAUUAUUGAAUAUUAUAACUGCUA